GCUGAUAGCAGGAAACUCAGCUUCAACCAGGAGAAAGGGUUUAAUUCAUUUCAGAGCUGUAGCCAACCCAGGCGGGUACUUCAGAUGCAGCGCACCGUGCCACGGUCACCAGACGUCCAUGUGGCUGUGUCCAGCCAAUGGCCUAAUGUGCACCAUGAUCCAGUGAGAUCAGGAAUGCUUGCAGCGACUUUCCUUCUCAAUGCAGCCCCUUUUACCUUUAUUAGGAGUACUCAGCACCUUCUUAGACACGGCUCAGAUUCAGGGCCCAGAUCUGCCACAGCUCGACCUCAGAUAUCCCUUUUGAUGACUGACAUUGUUCAUGGCCCAGGGAUAUGCUUCUCAACAUCUUUGUCUAAUGUCCUUGAAACAGUAAAUGACUGCAUCUGAAUGCUAUGGAAAUUCUGGGGUUGCAUCCCUGUUGUCAGCACAGACAAAAGCACUACUCCAGAGUAUAGGGAAAAUUUAAGUGGUGAGAUCUUUUGGGAGACAGAAAAGGCCCUACAAAUGUGAGGAAUGGGACUGGAACACAACAUUUGUUGCUGAAGUUACAUAUUUUGAAAAUAAAGUCAGGACCAAUGGGUAGCAAUUACCCAAGAGAUAAAUUUCUGCCAGUGGAGCCAUGAACCAGUGGAAUGGGUACCGCCACGGUGGGUGCCCUCACUGCACGGAAAUGUUCAGGAGGAGGCUGGGCAGCUGCAGACAGAGACUGAAGUCUGGAACCCUGUUCCUGCUGCUGCUAAUCCCCCUGGCCUUCAGUUCCCCUGCCACAGGUAGGACUCAUGCAAGUGAAAAGAGCCCAAUGAAAUGAGGGGCAAAGGAAAGACCUCGUCAUGCCCAAGGCACGGUUGCCCUGACAAGUGGUCUUGGAGUGUGAGGCACAAAGUGAAGCCCUCCACUCUCCCCUCUCUCACCCUCCCCUGACGUAGAUGGCUGAGAUUGCAAGGCAGAUGCAGUGCAUGCAAUUAACCAGCCCUGCAAAGAUCAGAAUUGAGAGUACUGCCUGAAGGCCAGAGCCUGUGAGUGUAUACAUUGCAAUGAAAGAAAUAGAGAUCCAGUUGAUUCUUAAUCAUUGCUGCUUAGUAUUCUGGUGCGGAGAUGUUUAUCUAAACAGUCUAAUAUCGAUGAAGGUACUUAGAACACUGAAACAAAAUAAAGCAAUAUUUUGCAUAUAGAAAAAAUCAAAGAAAUGAUCAAAGAGAAAAAUCCAGAUCUUUCAUAAGAAUUGAUUUGUUGUUCUUAUUAGGUAAUACAGUCAUAUAUUUACAUAGUUCCAAAGGUAUAUGUUGAGUAGUGUCACUCCUGCAGAUCCUACCUCCAACUCCUGACUCUAUAGGUCUCACUCUUUUUUUAUUGUCCUAAAUAUACAUAACAUAAAAUUUAUAAAUUUAAUAUUCUAGGGUAUAGUUCAGUGGUAUUAAGUACAUUCACACUGAUGUGCAACCAUCAUUAUCAUCCAUUCCCAAAACUUUUCAUCACCGCAAAUAGAAAAGCUGUACCCAUGAAACAAUAACUUCCAUUGCCUCCCCCUCAGCCUUUGGUAACCUCUAUUCUACUUUCUGUUUCUAUGAAUUUGACUGUUCUAGGUACCUCAUAUAAGUGGAAUCACACAAUAUUUGUCCCUUUGUGUCUAACUUAUUUCACUUAGCAUGUUUUCAAGAUUUAUCUGUACUGUACCAUGUAUCAGAAUUUCAUUCUUUUUCAAGGCUAAAUAAUAUUCCAUUGUGUGUAUGUAUCAUAUUUUGUUUAACCAUUCAUUUAUUGACUGACAUUGGAGUCCUUUCCAUCUUUUGUCUAUUGUGAAGAAAGCUGCUGUUAACACUAGUGUAUAAAUAAAUAUCUGUUCAAGUCCC